CCUACGGGUGGCUGCAGUGGGGAAUAUUGGACAAUGGGCGAAAGCCUGAUCCAGCCAUGCCGCGUGUGUGAAGAAGGCCUUCGGGUUGUAAAGCACUUUCAGUGGGGAAGAAAGCCUUGGGGCUAAUACCCUCGAGGAAGGACAUCACCCACAGAAGAAGCACCGGCUAACUCCGUGCCAGCAGCCGCGGUAAUACGGAGGGUGCGAGCGUUAAUCGGAAUUACUGGGCGUAAAGCGCGCGUAGGCGGUCUGAUAAGCCGGUUGUGAAAGCCCCGGGCUCAACCUGGGAACGGCAUCCGGAACUGUCAGGCUAGAGUGCAGGAGAGGAAGGUAGAAUUCCCGGUGUAGCGGUGAAAUGCGUAGAGAUCGGGAGGAAUACCAGUGGCGAAGGCGGCCUUCUGGACUGACACUGACGCAGAGGUGCGAAAGCGUGGGUAGCAAACAGGAUUAGAUACCCCAGUAGU
rnacentral:rRNA from 1 species